CAAGCGGUAAGGCACCGGAUUCUGAUUCCGGCAUUCCGAGGUUCGAAUCCUCGUACCCCAGCCA
rnacentral:tRNA from 3 species